AAUAGAUACCCAGGUAGUCCACGCCGUAAACGAUGAGUGCUAAGUGUUAGGGGGUUUCCGCCCCUUAGUGCUGCAGCUAACGCAUUAAGCACUCCGCCUGGGGAGUACGGUCGCAAGACUGAAACUCAAAGGAAUUGACGGGGGCCCGCACAAGCGGUGGAGCAUGUGGUUUAAUUCGAAGCAACGCGAAGAACCUUACCAGGUCUUGACAUCCCGCUGACCGCUAUGGAGACAUAGUUUUCCCUUCGGGGACAGCGGUGACAGGUGGUGCAUGGUUGUCGUCAGCUCGUGUCGUGAGAUGUUGGGUUAAGUCCCGCAACGAGCGCAACCCUUGUCCUUAGUUGCCAUCAUUCAGUUGGGCACUCUAAGGAGACUGCCGGCUAAAAGUCGGAGGAAGGUGGGGAUGACGUCAAAUCAUCAUGCCCCUUAUGACCUGGGCUACACACGUGCUACAAUGGACGGUACAAACGGUUGCGAAGUCGCGAGACGGAGCUAAUCCGAAAAAACCGUUCUCAGUUCGGAUUGCAGGCUGC
rnacentral:rRNA from 1 species